CCUACGGGGGGCAGCAGUAGGGAAUUUUCGUCAAUGGGCGCAAGCCUGAACGAGCAAUGCCGCGUGAACGAGGAAGGUCUUCGGAUCGUAAAGUUCUGUUGACGGGGAAAAAGAGCGGAGAGAGGAAAUGAACUCCGAUUGAUAUUACCCUUCGAGGAAGUCACGGCUAACUACGUGCCAGCAGCCGCGGUAAUACGUAGGGGGCAAGCGUUAUCCGGAUUUACUGGGUGUAAAGGGAGCGCAGACGGCAGCGCAAGUCCGGGGUGAAAGCCCGCGGCCCAACCGCGGGACUGCCCUGGAAACUG
rnacentral:rRNA from 1 species